GCGUAUUGACUUCCAAUAAAGGACGCGUAAUGACUUCCAAUAAGCUCAAUGGAUUGCCGCUGCCGGGCCCGCCGAAAGCUUCAUUGGGUCGGCCGUUCCGAGAAGCUACCAGAAAUGUUCUAAAAGACGCUCUAGCGGCCGCCUAGACGGCGGUGCUCCGCCCCGAUUAACCCAAAAUCGUUUACUAAAUCGGUAAAGUUAUUAGGCGGCGUAAGGCGGACUCCUGGGAGGCCUAAACGGACGCUGGGCGGGCUAGAAGGAAGCUAGAUGGUCUGGGCGGCCUGGGAAAAUACGACUGGUCUAGCAAGAAGCAGGCGGACGCUGGCCAAUCUGGGUGCUCUGCGCCUCACCGUCUUCUCUCCCCAAGCAAAGUCCACCUUUUCUUGCACAAGGAUAUCGACUACCUUUUGGCUGAAACCACACUUGGGUUCAUCUGGUUUUCCCUUCAUAACAGCACAACAGGGCUUUUAUUAAUCAGGCUUUCGAGUCGAGAGUUAAGAGUAUCACUCACACCAGUAGAUGCUGAGAUUCCACCCUUUCCGCUUCCAGCAUCAGUUACUUUUGCGGCGCGCCGUCUCCCUCUCGGUGUGACGAUGGUUUACCAGACGAGAGAGAGUAUGGAUCUGCAAUUGCGGAUGUGAUGAUAUGGCUGACGGCAACAAUGGUUUUUGCAGUGAGCAGCUUAGGGUUUUAUUGUGAAAAAGGUGAGUCGGUGAAUGCAUUGAUUGGGAAUCGGGAGGCUGUAGGAAAUAUAAGAUGACAAAUGGAUAAGAUGGCUUUGGGUUUGGUUAGGGUCCAUUGCGCCCAUCUAUAAUGUACUGGACAAUUCUAUUCAAUGGUGAAACAAGGAAUACAAGGUCCAAACCUUACAUUUUAUUAAUGAAAAAGGCCCAAAAAAAUUUAUAGGCUUAGAAAAUAAUACAAAAGGUUAAAAAAUAACAUAUU
rnacentral:sRNA from 1 species